GGUUAACGGAGCAACUUCUUUCUGUUGAUCUUCCUGUCACCAUAGGCUACAAAAGACUGUCUGACAGAGUCCAGUUUUCAGGAGAGGUGAGAUGAAGAGUGACAGGGAAAAGGUGGCCUCUGAGAAUCAGAGAAUUAAAUUUAUUGCUGAUUAAAUGGUCAGAUCAGGCAAUGGUUAUAGGAAGUGAAUAUGAACA